rnacentral:rRNA from 1 species
UACGAAGGGGGCUAGCGUUGCUCGGAAUCACUGGGCGUAAAGCGCACGUAGGCGGCUUUCUAAGUCAGGGGUGAAAUCCUGGAGCUCAACUCCAGAACUGCCUUUGAUACUGGAGAGCUUGAGUCCGGGGAGAGGUGAGUGGAACUCCGAGUGUAGAGGUGAAAUUCGUAGAUAUUCGGAAGAACACCAGUGGCGAAGGCGGCUCACUGGCCCGGUACUGACGCUGAUGUGCGAAAGCGUGGGGAGCAAACAGG